UACGAGGGGGGGCAAGCGUUGUUCGGAUUUAUUGGGCGUAAAGGGUGCGUAGGCGGUUUGGCAAGUCUUGUGUGAAAUCUUCGGGCUCAACCCGAAGCCUGCAUAAGAAACUGCCGGGCUUGAGUAUGGGAGAGGUGAGUGGAAUUUCCGGUGUAGCGGUGAAAUGCGUAGAUAUCGGAAGGAACACCUGUGGCGAAAGCGGCUCACUGGACCAUAACUGACGCUGAGGCACGAAAGCUAGGGGAGCAAACAGG
rnacentral:rRNA from 1 species